UACGGAGGGUGCGAGCGUUGUCCGGAAUCACUGGGCGUAAAGAGCUCGUAGGCGGUCUGUCGCGUCGAAUGUGAAAACCCGGGGCUCAACCCCGGGCCUGCAUUCGAUACGGGCAGACUAGAGUUCGGUAGGGGAGUCUGGAAUUCCUGGUGUAGCGGUGAAAUGCGCAGAUAUCAGGAGGAACACCGGUGGCGAAGGCGGGACUCUGGGCCGAUACUGACGCUGAGGAGCGAAAGCGUGGGGAGCGAACAGG
rnacentral:rRNA from 1 species